GGAAGAAGAAGUUAUUCAAGAGUUAUUCAAACGCUUGUAUAAUCUGGUUGUUAGUUGGGGAAAAGUCAGGUUGAUUCCAGUGCAAGUUAGAGCUGUGUAGCCAUUUGUAGCUUCAGAUGUUUUCAAAAGUGAGAACAUGUUUGACUUCGGGUUUAGCCAGAUUGCCCAGUUGUGUAAAUUCAAGAGUAACAUCUGUGCCCUGCAAACAUCAGCAUCGCACCUUCAGUUCUGAGUCUGAGGGUGUCCAGGUUCUGUAUGAUGGGCUUUGUCCAAUAUGUGUGACUGAGAUCCGUUUGCUCCAGUUUCUGCAGAGAAACCGGCCUGAGAAAGUACAUUUCAUUGAUAUCUCUCUGCCAGGUUAUGAUGGAACAAAAUACAAGGCUAUCACCUAUGAGAUGGCCAUGAAGGAAAUGCACGUGAUUGAUAAGAAAGACAAGGUUCACAGCGGAGUCCCAGCGUUUGCAGUCAUGUAUAGCGCCGUAGGCCUCGGUUGGUUGGGUCGCUUUAUGAUGUGGUCACCUGUGAGACCAUUGAUGGACAAAUCCUAUGACAUCUUUGCCAGGAACCGCUUAAAGUGGACCGGACGUGGAGAGGAGUGCACCACAGGACGCUGUGAAAAGAAAAUACCCUGACGCUCCAGCACUGUUUUAUAAGUACUGUAAAUAUAUGGAGAACUGCAUAAAUAUCAUGCUGAUAAUCCUGUAAAAAAUGGUUAUGUUGGUUAUGUAGUUCACCUAAAGUAAUUUAAAAUAACAACAAUGAUGCAGAGAUAAAAUUACAACUGUAAAAUAGAGCUGAAGAUGAAUGUAUUCAAAGAAAUAUUUCUGGAUGUACAGGUUUCAUUAAAUACAGUUUGAAAAUCUGUUUUUGACUGAUAA